UGAACGCUGGCGGCAGGCCUAACACAUGCAAGUCGAACGGUAACAGGAAGCAGCUUGCUGCUUCGCUGACGAGUGGCGGACGGGUGAGUAAUGUCUGGGAAACUGCCUGAUGGAGGGGGAUAACUACUGGAAACGGUAGCUAAUACCGCAUAAUGUCGCAAGACCAAAGAGGGGGACCUUCGGGCCUCUUGCCAUCGGAUGUGCCCAGAUGGGAUUAGCUAGUAGGUGGGGUAACGGCUCACCUAGGCGACGAUCCCUAGCUGGUCUGAGAGGAUGACCAGCCACACUGGAACUGAGACACGGUCCAGACUCCUACGGGAGGCAGCAGUGGGGAAUAUUGCACAAUGGGCGCAAGCCUGAUGCAGCCAUGCCGCGUGUAUGAAGAAGGCCUUCGGGUUGUAAAGUACUUUCAGCGGGGAGGAAGGUGUUGAGGUUAAUAACCUCAGCAAUUGACGUUACCCGCAGAAGAAGCACCGGCUAACUCCGUGCCAGCAGCCGCGGUAAUACGGGAGGGUGCAAGCGUUAAUCGGAAUUACUGGGCGUAAAGCGCACGCAGGCGGUCUGUCAAGUCGGAUGUGAAAUCCCCGGGGCUCAACCUGGGAACUGCAUUCGAAACUGGCAGGCUAGAGUCUUGUAGAGGGGGGUAGAAUUCCAAGUGUAGCGGUGAAAUGCGUAAAGAUCUGGAGGAAUACCGGUGGCGAAGGCGCCCCCUGGACAAAGACUGACGCUCAGUGCGAAAGCGUGGGGAGCAAACAGGAUUAGAUACCCUAGUAGUGCACGCCGUAAACGAUGUCGACCGGAGGUUGUGCCCCUGAGGCGUGGCUUCCGGAGCUAACGCGUUAAGUCGACCGCCUGGGGAGUACGGCCGCAAGGUUAAAACUCAAAUGAAUUGACGGGGGCCCGCACAAGCGGUGGAGCAUGUGGUUUAAUUCGAUGCAACGCGAAGAACCUUACCUACUCUUGACAUCCAGAGAACUUUCCAGAGAUGGAUUGGUGCCUUCGGGAACUCUGAGACAGGUGCUGCAUGGCUGUCGUCAGCUCAUGUUGUGAAAUGUUGGGUUAAGUCCCGCAACGAGCGCAACCCUUAUCCUUUGUUGCCAGCGGUUAGGCCGGGAACUCAAAGGAGACUGCCAGUGAUAAACUGGAGGAAGGUGGGGAUGACGUCAAGUCAUCAUGGCCCUUACGAGUAGGGCUACACACGUGCUACAAUGGCGCAUACAAAGAGAAGCGACCUCGCGAGAGCAAGCGGACCUCAUAAAGUGCGUCGUAGUCCGGAUUGGAGUCUGCAACUCGACUCCAUGAAGUCGGAAUCGCUAGUAAUCGUGGAUCAGAAUGCCACGGUGAAUACGUUCCCGGGCCUUGUACUCACCGC
rnacentral:rRNA from 1 species